GUAGGAGCCAAGCGUUAUCCGAAUUUACUGGGCGUAAAGCGCGUGUAGGGCGGCAUGGCAAGUUGGGAUGUGAAAGCUCCUGGCUCAACUGGGAGAGGACGUUCAAAACUGCCAAGCUAGAGGGCGAGAGAGGGAGGUGGAAUUCCCGGUGUAGUGGUGAAAUGCGUAGAUAUCGGGAGGAACACCAGUGGCGAAGGCGGCCUCCUGGGUCGCACCUGACGCUCAGACGCGAAAGCUAGGGUAGCAAACGGGAUUAGAAACCCCGGUAGUCCUAGCCGAAACGAUGUAGACUUGGUGUUGGUGGUGUAAGAGCCAUCGGUGCCGCAGCAAACGCGAUAAGUCUACCGCCUGGGGACUACGACCGCAAGGUUA
rnacentral:rRNA from 1 species